rnacentral:rRNA from 1 species
UGGCUGGUCGCGCUCUCGCUUGCGGUCGCCACGCUCGCCUCCUAUACCGCGCUCGACCUGUCGGGCCGGAUCGCGCUGCUCGCGCACGGCCGGCUGCGCCAUGCGUGGCUCGCCGGCAGCGCGGUCGCGAUGGGCGUCGGCAUCGGGUCGAUGCACGUCAUCGGCGUGCUGUCGGUGACGCUACCCAUCCGCAUCGGCUUCGACGCCGCGAUCACCGGCCUGUCGCUCGCGCUCGCGAUCGUGGUGUCCGGCUUCGCGCUGUAUACGAUCGCCGGCGCCCAACUGACGAGGCUGCGGCUCGGCAUCGGCGGCGUUCUGAUGGGGCUCGGCAUCGCGGGCAUGCAUUACACCGGCGACGCCGCGAUGCGGAUGAAGCCCGCCAUCGAGUACGACCCGCUGCUGUUCACGGCAUCGAUCGUCAUCGCGCUCGUCGCCUCGACGGUCGCGCUAUGGAUCGCGCAGACGCUCAUCGGCAUCGGCCGAUCGCGGCUGGCCCGCAUCGGCGCGGCCGGCGUGAUGGGCGCGGCGAUCACCGGCAUGCACUACACCGCCUACGCCGCCGCGAUCUUCGCCCCCGGCUCGACCUGCGGCGCGGCGACCGGCAUCGAUCUGCGCUGGCUCGCGGCGACCGUCGCGCUCUUCACGGUCGCGAUCCUGAUCGUCGCGCUGAUCCUGUCGCACUUCGACGUGCGCACGACGCUGCUCGCCGGAUCGGUUUCGCGCCUGAGCGGCCAGAUCGUGCGCAUGGCCGCAUUCGACACGCUCACGGAUCUGCCGAACCGCCACACGCUGAACGAGCACCUCGGCCGCGCGCUCGCGGCGGCGCGGGCGCGCGGCGGCAAGCUGGCGAUCCUGUUCAUGGAUCUCGACGGAUUCAAGACCAUCAACGAUUCGCUCGGCCACCCGGCCGGCGACGAAGUGCUGAAAACCUUCUCGCAGCGGCUGCUGCGCUGCGUGCGAGACGGCGACAUCGUCGCGCGCCUCGGCGGCGACGAAUUCGUCGUGCUGCUGGAGAGCGUUUCGUCGGACGAUGAAGCGGCCCGCGUCGCGCGCGAUGUCCUCGAACGGAUGCGCAAGGGGCGCUGGAACGACGGGCAGGCGCUACAGGUCACGCCGAGCAUCGGCAUCGCGCUAUAUCCGAAGGACGGCGAUACGGCCGACACGCUGCUCAGGCACGCCGAUGCGGCGAUGUAUGCGGCCAAGCGCGGCGGCCGCUGCACCUACCGCUUCUUCGAGGCGACGAUGGACGAGGCGGCGGCGCGGGCGCUCAAGCUUCAGCACGCGCUGCACGAAGCGCUCGAUUCCGACUACUUCUCGCUGUGCUUCCAGCCGAAAUUCCGCUGCGACGGCCACCGGCUCGCGGGCGCGGAAGCGCUGUUGCGCCUGAAUCAUCCGACGCUCGGCAAACUCGCGCCGAUGG